GUCAGUGUGGCAGAAUAGUGCAAUGGACUUAAAAUUCGUAUAUAAAUAGUCUUAUUUCUCUGACA
rnacentral:tRNA from 1 species